rnacentral:sRNA from 1 species
GGAAGGAUCAUUAUCGUACAAAAUGUGAGGGGCAUGUGAGGGCUGUCGCUGACUCAAAGUCGUGCACGCCCGAGUGUGUCCUCUCACAUAAUAAUCCAUCUCACCCUUUGUGCAUCGCCGCGUGAGCACCCUUUGGGAUCAUCUCGGAGGGGGCUCGCGUUUUCACACAAACCCCCCUUUUAAAAGUGUAGAAUGACCUCAUUUAUGCGCUAACACGCAAUCAAUACAACUUUCAACAACGGAUCUCUUGGCUCUCGCAUCGAUGAAGAACGCAGCGAAAUGCGAUACGUAAUGUGAAUUGCAGAAUUCAGUGAAUCAUCGAAUCUUUGAACGCACCUUGCGCCCCUUGGUAUUCCGAGGGGCACACCCGUUUGAGUGUCGUGAAAACCUCAACCUCCUUGGUUUCUUCUGGAGACCAAAGGCAGGCUUGGACUUUGGAGGCCUUUGCUGGAACCUCUCUCUUUUGAAGGCCAGCUCCUCUUAAACGAAUUAGCAGGGUCCUCUUUGCCGAUCCUCGACGUGUGAUAAGAUGUUUCCAUGUCUUGGUUUCUGGCUCUGUCACUUUUGGGACCCGCUUCUAACCGUCUUGACCUUGCAUCAAGACAAUGUUCGAGCAUGUCUCCCUUCUCGGGAAGCUCCCUCGACCCCACGAACCCUUGACCUCAAAUCGGGUGAGACUACCCGCUGAACUUAAGCAUAUCAAUAAGCGGAGGAA